rnacentral:tRNA from 1 species
GGGCGAUUAGCUCAGGUGGUUAGAGUACCGGUUUCACAUACCGGGGGUCACUGGUUCAAGUCCAGUAUCGCCCA